rnacentral:rRNA from 1 species
GCUGGCGGCAGGCCUAACACAUGCAAGUCGAGCGCGCCUUCGGGUGAGCGGCGGACGGGUUAGUAACGCGUGGGAACGUGCCCUUCUCUACGGAAUAGCCUCUGGAAACGGAGAGUAAUACCGUAUACGCCCUUUGGGGGAAAGAUUUAUCGGAGAAGGAUCGGCCCGCGUUAGAUUAGGUAGUUGGUGGGGUAACGGCCUACCAAGCCUACGAUCUAUAGCUGGUUUUAGAGGAUGAUCAGCAACACUGGGACUGAGACACGGCCCAGACUCCUACGGGAGGCAGCAGUGGGGAAUCUUAGACAAUGGGGGCAACCCUGAUCUAGCCAUGCCGCGUGAGUGAUGAAGGCCUUAGGGUCGUAAAGCUCUUUCGCCUGUGAUGAUAAUGACAGUAGCAGGUAAAGAAACCCCGGCUAACUCCGUGCCAGCAGCCGCGGUAAUACGGAGGGGGUUAGCGUUGUUCGGAAUUACUGGGCGUAAAGCGCGCGUAGGCGGAUUAGAAAGUUGGGGGUGAAAUCCCGGGGCUCAACCCCGGAACUGCCUCCAAAACUGCUAGUCUAGAGUUCGAGAGAGGUGAGUGGAAUUCCGAGUGUAGAGGUGAAAUUCGUAGAUAUUCGGAGGAACACCAGUGGCGAAGGCGGCUCACUGGCUCGAUACUGACGCUGAGGUGCGAAAGUGUGGGGAGCAAACAGGAUUA